AUGGCUCCCCUGAGACCAAAAAAAUUUGUACCACUAAGGAAUUUUCACCUUCUGACUGUCGAAAAGGGGCACAAGCAGGCUGCAGCAGCAAUUGAAUUUGCUUUCCAGGUUUUAAGCAAACUUACUCCUGAGAUGCAGAACCAAGUAUCGGUGGCCCACGCAUUGGCCCUAGCAGAAAAAAAGGACGCCAACGAUACUGCGCUACUGCUAGAAGCGAUACUUAAAAAUGUUCCAGCAGGUAAAACAUUGAACUAUUAUUACUUUAUCACUUUAUAGAAUUAAGUAGUCCCUUUCGUAAACAUCACUUCUCGAAUAUACUCUGUUUUGAAGUAUGGGAGCCUUAGUUGUGAGAUUUAAUUUUUUUUUUGUUUUUUUUGUUUUUGUUUUUUUAAACAAGCUUUAAAUAGACCCAAUUAGCUAAUUCCACACUUACCACCAGCCCCAGGUGACCGUUGUCCGAGACGAUCAGACAGGGGUCACCUGUUCGGGAAUGGAACCUGGGAUCUCUUGGUUAUAGGGCCAACGCUACAACCACUAUACAACAGGAGAGGUGAGAGGAACCCAGUGUGGAAUAGAUGUUCUUCUAUCUCCCAUUUAAUUUUGUCCCUUAUAGGAGAUGGACAAUUCUAUCAGGGGUGAUGUAGGAGGGUGUAAUAAUAAACGGGUUAACUUUUUGGUUGCGAGGCUUCCCAAAGAAAAGGAGUAGGGAGUCUAAGUGAAAACCUUCACAUGCCCUUAAGUUCUGAGCAGAUGAUAAAAUAAAAAUCUGAAAGAAAUCUGUAUGACGGUGGCAUAUCAGUGUAAACAGACGAACCAUAUAAGGGAAUUAAUGGGCAUUUUUUACGGAUGAACAUAUUUUAAUUUUGCCAUGAUUUGGUAUCAGAUAACAGCAGCAGUGAGACUUAAACACAGUUGUCCUACGCAGCACAACAGACUGCAUGUCGGGGAAAUGUUUAGGGCAGCAAUUAUAUUGUGUCAAAGUUGUUCCACUACCUUUUUGAACACUUGAAGCUAACUGAAAGGAUGCUCCAAGUAGCAAAGUUGAAGAGAAUAUUAUGCCCUCCACAAACUUUCCGGUUCUUCUUGGCCCCAGUCUAAAUACUGAAUGAAAAUUUCAGGGUUCUUGAUUUCCAAUGCUACCAUGGGAGCCUGAAAGUUUCAACUAAAAAUUACAUUAGUGUAAAUGCUGAAAAAUCUAGUCGUGGUGAAUUGACAUGUAAUCAGGGCAGAAAAUGGUGUCUUGCAGUGAAAGACGUUUCUCCCCUGUUUUUUCGCCCCCUUUUACGCACAAUUUGGACGGUCAGGGGUGAGGAGAGAUUCAACUUGUUGGGGGUGUGAUUUGAUGGUAACCUUUUAAACCCUCCCUUGGUAAAAAUUAAAAAUAUUUAGUUCCUGGUGUCACUGUGCUGGGUGAAAGGAAAAAUGUCAUUCAGUAACACUACAAUAUGGCGAAACAAAAUAUUUCGCAACAUUCGGCCAAUACAGCUCUCUGAAAAUAUCCCUUAACCAAGAUAUUAACGUAUUUAUUCAUCGCUGGUUGGAAAAAAUCUGGAUUCCUGGCCCAAUCGAAGAACAAGAUUCUACCUGAUUCAAAUUGGCACCGGAACAGCUUUGGGGGACUUCGCGUUCGAGGAGUAGUCCUUCUCUGCUGUAUGUCUCAAGUGUGAACAAAGUAUAUUACAUAAGUUUAAGUGGCGUAAUCCAAGUAGUGGUAUGGUGCAACCGCAUAGAUCGUAAUUGUAACGUUCAGCGUGGGAUUCAAUGCAAGUAGAUUCUAGUUAUUAUUAUGAAAGGGAAGUUUAAUAUGAUGCAUUAAAUCAUGUGUUACUCGCUUUGUUAAGAGUUAGUUUCAGUCAGUUUUGUUAGGCUAAUACUUUCCUACGCCGCAUUUUAACAUGAAAACACAAAUCAUAACACUUAAAUCUGCACCUUGUCUACACUGAAAAAUGGGAUCUUAAUCUUUACGCAUAAUGAAAGGUUCUUUCUUUCCUGUUGUUGGCUCAUCUAUGAUAAUCAAGAGUUCAAUCCGUAUUUUUAUUUCCUUCCUUUCAGAAGCAGCAAAACCAAGCAUUGAAAACCCAUUUUCCAUCAAUGAACAGCGUAAGUGAAAUUCAUUUCUAUAAGUUUAUUCGUUUUAAUAAGAUGAAUUCGUUGAGUGGCUCCGCUUUUUUGCCUUUGACUCGAAUAAGUCUAAUUUUUGGCCCACCAUAAGCUACAGCCUGUGACGGCUUCACGAGCCAACCAAGGAUGAGUUUUCCGCCGCAGCUGACAUUCAAAUGAUAUGAAUUGGGGCCGUCUCGCCAGAUUUGUUGAUUUUUCAAGCAAAUUUCUUUUCCUCUUUUUUAAAAUUCUGCCUUCAUCUACCUGACUUUUUUUCUAAUUUCUCAAAGAGUAUGCUAGAAUCUAAAUUCAAAAUAUUGAUUCUAUUCUUGAUCCAAACGAGGGAUGUCUCGUAAGUAUCACAACGGUUCCUUACAUAGCUAUUUUCGGUAAGAAGAGUUGUGGCGACCUGAAAUGAAGACGAAUAAUCAGCGAAAAAUUGAAGAAAGUUCAUCGAGGUAUUAGAGAGGAAUUUUUUCUUAAAAUGUAAGUGAGAUUAGAAAAUUGUGAAGAAUCUUGACUUCUAAAGUUAUCAAAUAUUUUGAGGCUCAAGACUGAAAGGAGAACUGCUUGUUUUAUCCCUUGGCAUCUUCCCGUAAGAAACAAAUAAAACUAUGUCUCCUUUUAUUACCAACUCAGGCAAUUAAACUCGUUUCAAAGGUAAGCUGGUUGUGCCAGAGAGUAGUAACUGAACGUCACUAUCAGCAGAAUAAACUGCCACUUUGCUCGCUGUACUUCAGGGGCGGCGUACGUGCACUUAAGAAAUCUUGACCUCAAUCAAAUGAUAUCAGACGGUUUCAGAUAAGAAUCGGAAAAGAUAGACCGAGUGAGAGUUACUUUUCUUUUCUCCUUUUCUAAGACUCUGCGGAUUAACGUUUUUUCCCCUUCUCAUUUUAUUAACUCUCUUGAGGUACAUAGUAAUUUUGUGACAAGAUGACAGGUUUUUACCCUUUUUGAGGGUUUUUUGGUAGUUAACAUGUUACUCUUAAGAUUUUCUACUUUAGGGUGUAGUUAAUCACUGGCUUCGGGAGCACACCAAGGUAUCAUCUUACCCAAGCGUUUUGAUAUUUGGUUUUGAUUAAAUGCGGGAACGCUUCACUUCUAGUUGAUAUCGUUCGUGAAGUUGAUGUGUUGGUAUCUUGAAAUUCCUCGAUGAAAAAAGGAGAGAGUUGCAAUUCCAUCAGCUGAUAUUACUCAGGGAUGAAGACUGUUGAUGACAAAACAGCCUAGUGGUCAGUCAAAGUUAAACUAUGAUUCCAUUGACCUCACUCUCAUCUAUCGAUUUCAGAAUGAACCUUGUGGUGGUUCCGGCGGCUCCUCGCUAAAUUUUUUGGGGAGAUCCUUUGAUAUAGUUACUUAUUUUCGUACGGAUGACUCUAAGUACCCUAAAAUUUGCUUAAAGCAUCUAAAGGAACUAGACUCCACAGAUGUAAAUGUUCCAAAAUUGAAUUGCUAGGCUGUCAACAGUUGUUUGAAUACGAAACAAGCAAGGCACGAACUUCUGAUAUUUAUAAGUACACAGCAACAGCCAUGAAGAUCAGAUCAUUUGCGUUACAUUAAUAAUUGGACCACUCUUUUCAAUCUGGAACCAUAAAUUUUGGCUCGGUUCAAAAACAACGUAUGUACCAUAAGUUUCCGCAUGCUCAUAAGUGUUUUUUCAGAUGAGCCAGAAUUUAUAGUUCCAAAUUUCAAAAGACAGUCAACUUACAACGUCACCUGUUAAGUCGAAUUUGCACUAAUGAAUGUAGCCUCUCCCCUAUUUAAAUAUGUAUAAAAUUUGCACUGAGAAUUAAACAUUCUUGUACUUUUAUAUUUUAACUAUUUUAAUUUUUACCAAAAUUUUAAACACUGAAACCCUCGAAGCAAUUGUGAUCAUUGACAUCUUUGCAUAAGCUGGUAUUAAAUUAAUAUAAAUUUUAAGUAUUAGGAAGUGGCGUAAAAUGUAUAUAUUGUCUCUAUAACUUUAUAAACACGGAAGGAUAAAAUAAAGUAAACUUCUAUUCUAUUCUUGGUAUAGUUACUUAUUUUCUGUUAGCCAUAUAAACCACAAAAACCCUCAAAAACAUUUUCCGUGUCACUUCCUUGUAAUUAAGUAUAAGAUAAGCAAAAACCUUUGAUGAAUUCCCAAAGUCCACUAAGACUAAUCUCUCAAAAAUUUCCAGAAAUUUACUCGAAAGGAAAAACAGAAAAUGAAAAAUAAAUCCCUUGUCAAAAACAAACAAAAAACCGAUUUUGAGAUAAAUCCCUCGAAUGAACUUGAAAUCACAAAAUCCAUCGAGGAUGUCAACUGAAAUUUUUCCCCCUUCAAUUAUGAACUCCGCAACAAGCAUGACUCGCUUGUACCUUUUCAUACACGAGCCGCACAAAUUCAUCUCUUCUCUCCUCUCCUUCCGUCCAUGGACAGAGGUCCUAAAUUAUUCGGAUUUACUGACCUAGCCAUCUAAAGAGAAAGCUAUUUACUAUUAUGUACAUUUGGUAAUGACUUAUUGCAAAAUGUUAUCGAAUUGAUAUAUAAGAGCAUAUUUUGCAGUAAGCGAAGGUUUGAGAUUAAUAACAGUUAACC
rnacentral:lncRNA from 1 species